rnacentral:lncRNA from 1 species
CGCCCGCUUUCCCUCUAUCUUUAUCCAGAAACAAAUCCUUAGUUCAGUUAUUUCAGAAGAAAAAUCAUGAAUUGAGCUGUCCUGCAGAAGCUAGGAAAUAGCUUUAACUGGAUGUUGGUUGUGUAGUGACAGAUCCAGCAGAAUUGAGCCCGCCACUGAAGCAGCCAGGCAACAAUGCUGUUUCACAGUAUGCAGGAUCUGAAUAAAAGUGUCCUUUGUGCUUAUUUGAGACUGGGGGGCGGGACUUGUGGCAAUUUACGUUAUUUUUCCAUAAUGGAAAUUGAGGCAGCCUCUAAUCCUGCUAUCACACAUGGCAACUACUUAUUUGAUUUUUGGUAAUUUGGGAGCAGCUGUGGACAAACAAUUAUUCUGCAAAAAGAGCCAUGCCAGCUGCAUUCUGACCCAGUUGCAAAUGCUUGGGUAGACCAAACUUCCUAUUCACCAUCUUUCUAAACCAGGGAUAGCUUCAACAACUCACCUGCUUUUUAUUG